rnacentral:tRNA from 1 species
GGUGUUGUGGCUCAGAGGUAGAGCACUCACCUAGCAUGUGUGAGGCACUGGGUUUGAUGCUCAGCACCA